rnacentral:rRNA from 1 species
UGUUUGUCUAAAAUCAAAUAGACACUUAGCUUCUUAAAUGGACAAAUUGUGUCUAACAAUAUGAGAUUGAGCAAUAACAGGUCUGUGAUGCCCUUAGAUGUUCUGGGCUGCACGCGCGCUACACUGAUGCGCUCAACGAGUUUAUGACCUUGCCCGGCAGGGUUGGGUAAUCUUCUUAAAACGCAUCGUGAUGGGGAUAGAUUAUUGCAAUUAUUAAACUUGAACGAGGAAUUCCUAGUAAACCCAGAUCAUCAAUCUGCAUUGAUUACGUCCCUCCCCUUUGUACACACCGCCCGUCGCUCCUACCGAUU